rnacentral:rRNA from 1 species
UGGGGAAUUUUGGACAAUGGGCGAAAGCCUGAUCCAGCAAUGCCGCGUGUGUGAAGAAGGCCUUCGGGUUGUAAAGCACUUUUGUCCGGAAAGAAAUCCUUGGCUCUAAUACAGUCGGGGGAUGACGGUACCGGAAGAAUAAGCACCGGCUAACUACGUGCCAGCAGCCGCGGUAAUACGUAGGGUGCAAGCGUUAAUCGGAAUUACUGGGCGUAAAGCGUGCGCAGGCGGUUUGCUAAGACCGAUGUGAAAUCCCCGGGCUCAACCUGGGAACUGCAUUGGUGACUGGCAGGCUAGAGUAUGGCAGAGGGGGGUAGAAUUCCACGUGUAGCAGUGAAAUGCGUAGAGAUGUGGAGGAAUACCGAUGGCGAAGGCAGCCCCCUGGGCCAAUACUGACGCUCAUGCACGAAAGCGUGGGGAGCAAAACAGGAUUAGAUACCCCUGGUAGUCCACGCCCUAAACGAUGUCAACUAGUUGUUGGGGAUUCAUUUCCUUAGUAACGUAGCUAACGCGUGAAGUUGACCGCCUGGGGAGUACGGUCGCAAGAUUAAAACUUAAAUGAAUUGACGGGGUCAUAGCUGUUUCCU